rnacentral:tRNA from 26 species
GGAAGGGUGGCCGAGCGGCUGAAGGCGGCGGUUUGCUAAACCGUUAUACGAUUGAAAAGUCGUAUCGAGGGUUCGAAUCCCUCUCCUUCCG